UGGCCAUGGAAACCAGUUACUAUGAUUGGCCAGGCCUACUUUUUAUGUCCAUUCCUACGGCUGCAGGGCCAUGUCCUGUGAUUGGCAGCUCCUCAGAACCACAUGGAGUGGAAGAGCUGUUCCUAGAAAUAGGGUGCUUGUUAUUCUGAGAGAGGAGCAAUUGCUUGAAAAUCUGUGAUAGCAAAACUGUACAAGUGGGAGAUUAUUUCAUUUCCAACAUAUAACCAAUCAUGCUGUCCCCAGAACCGCCCAAGAAGAAACUCCCAAUCUCGGAACAGGCACACGGCUCGAAUUAUCAGAAAAGCCGUUGAGAUAAGACAUGCAUGAUCUCCUUCCUAAAGAGGACAAGAAUGACAGCCACGUCAUCUGGAGAAGGCAGCCAGGGAAGUAGUCAAGAGAAAACACUUCUGUGGGUGACUUGAAGAAGCUGGUUACCAUAUGGUUGUUGGCCAAGCUUUGCUGGCUUUUUUGCAGCUUUCUGUUCCCGCAAGUUACUCCCCCAAAUCCUACCUAUUUUAAAAGCAACUCUCACAGGAAGAAAGGCUUGGUAGCCAACAGAUGACCACCACAUUCUCUCCCCCAAGACGUCUGAUUUCAGAAGAAAUUCAAGAAUGAAUAUUUACUGCCUAUAUCUGACAGAAGAAUCCCAUUUCUCAUGAGAAAAUCAAUGGAUAAUACUCAGCGUUUCUUCAAAACCAAAACUUCCUUUAUCAAAACCUGUAGAACACAGGUUUCAGCAAACUUCGUAAAAUAUUCAGAUCAAAUUUGGGUUUGUUAUUGAUUUUCAGGGGGAUUAAUCUCUUUUAUAUUAAAAGCUCAUUUGGUCACAAGUAA
ensembl:lncRNA LINC02040 long intergenic non-protein coding RNA 2040